rnacentral:tRNA from 1 species
CGGAUUCAGGGCUUGCGGCUGAAGCCCGCGGAGCUCAUGGCUUCGCUCGGCCGGCGGUCGGUGUUCGGGGCGGCCGGAUUGGCC